GCUCUCCCCAAGGACGAAGCCAUGCAUGCCCGCUCACCCGGGACGCGGCGGUCGGCUCAGGACAACGGUUGCACCACCCGCGGCGGUCCCUGCUAGCCGGACACCGCUGGCAACCCGGCGCCAAGACGUGCGCGCAAGGGCGGGCGCCCGCGGGCGAGCAGCGUGACGCAGCGACGGCCCGCCCGGGCUUCCGGGGCAUCACCCGGUCGGCGCGGUCGCGUAGCGCCGAGGGCCCGACGCCU
rnacentral:rRNA from 1 species